GAGUGAGGAUGAGAUUGAGAGAGAGGAUGAGAGGGGGAUGAUGAGAGGGAGGAGUAACAAAAAUGAAAACAAAAUCUUGAAAGUGAAAACAAUUUGAAAUAGAUUUCAGUUUUUAGUUUUUGUUUUCACUUUUGUUACUUCUCCCUCCCAUCCUCUCCUCUCAUCUUCCCUCCCAAUCCCAUCUCCACUCU
rnacentral:snoRNA from 1 species